UGAUUUAUUGAUCGAUCUUCUUCACCAUUCAACAAUCUGAUCAAAUUAAUUCAUAAUUAAAUAAGAAUUAAGACCAGCGAAAGAAAAACAACUUCCAGCGGUUUUUUCAAUAUUCAUUUUUCUCUUUGAUCUUCAAUUCUUCUCCACCUGAAAAUCUGCUGAGAGAGAGAGAGAGAGGGAGAAGGAGAAGGAGAAGGCAGUGAUCUCCGGGGGAAUGCUGGAGAGGAUCUUUCGGUGUGCAUCGCGGAAAAUGUGGAAGGACGAAGGGACUCCAGCCGAUUCAUACUAUCAAGUGCACCCUGACUGCACUGAUGUGCCCCAAAGCAAGUUUAGAAUCAAGGCUGGUAGAACUUUAAGUGCACGGAAAUGGCAUGCUGCUUUCUCUCCUGAAGGCUAUCUUGAUAUUGAAAAAAUUCUCAGUCGAGUCCAGCGUGGGGGUGUUCAUCCAUCAAUUAGAGGUGAAGUUUGGAAAUUUUUAUUGGGUUGUUAUGAUCCUAACAGCACUUUUGACGAAAGAGAGCAAAUACGACAGCGUCGAAGAGUAAAAUAUGCAUUGCUGAAAGAAGAGUGCCGUGAAAUGUUUCCCUUAGUUGGGAUGGGGAAAUUUGUAACUGCGCCAAUUAUCACAGAAGACGGUGAACCUAUACGGGAACCCAUUGUACUCCAACAAAUUAAUCUUGAAGAUGAACCUGCACCUCUUACUAAUUUGGAUGUAGAUGCUUCUAGUUCUGAAGUGUCGAAACUCUCAAAUGGACGUGGUCCUAUGGACAAGAAAGAGAUCCAGUGGAAACUUACAUUACAUCAAAUAGGUCUUGAUGUAAUCCGCACUGACCGAGCGUUGGUAUUUUAUGAGAAGCAAGAAAAUUUGUCAAAACUUUGGGAUAUCCUGGCUGUCUAUUCCUGGUUUGACCCAGAUAUUGGGUACUGCCAAGGUAUGAGUGAUCUUUGCUCGCCGAUGAUUAUUCUUCUUGAGGAUGAGGCAGAUGCAUUUUGGUGCUUUGAACGCUUAAUGCGGAGACUGCGAGGAAAUUUCAGAUGCAUUGGGAACUCUAUAGGAGUGGAGGCACAGCUUGGUAACCUAGCUUCCAUAACACAAGUUAUUGAUCCUAAGCUUCAUCACCACCUAGAAACUCUAGGUGGCGCGGAUUAUUUGUUUGCCUUCAGAAUGCUCAUGGUUUUGUUUCGCCGAGAAUUUUCUUUUGGUGAUUCAUUAUAUCUUUGGGAGAUGAUGUGGGCCCUAGAGUAUGACCCUGAUUUAGUGUCCUCGUAUGAGGAUGAUGAACUAACCAACGAAAAUACAGAGAGAUCUAAAGGGAAGGCCAAGUCAAGAAGGCAAUGUGGAAAAUUUGAAAGAGAAAACCUGAGGCGUGGAGGCAAAAAUGCUGCUGCACCUCUCCCUAUUUCUGUUUUUCUAGUGGCCGGCGUCCUUAAGCACAAGAGUUCGAAGUUAACCGAAGCUCGGGGCUUAGAUGAUGUUAUUAAGAUUCUUAACGACGUUACUGGUAGCUUGGAUGCCAAAAAAGCUUGUGCAAGUGCAAUGAAGCUUCACAAGAAAUACCUGAAAAAGGCAAAACAGACAUAAUGCUGGCUAAACAUCAGCCAUUGGAGUCGAAUCCUGGCUUCGUCAACGAACAACGACACGUGGGUUUUCUGAAAUGAGAGAGGAACUUGGAUUGGGCAUACUCAUGCCUAAAGACACUACAUACUGCUUCAUCUCAAAGAGCAGAGAUGGCUUUACUACUGCUGUUGUGUGUGACAUUAUUAAUUCUUUUGAUGCUGGAGGGAAGCACGUCAAUACACCUACCUGCCUCUAAUAUCCUAAGCAAUUGUUCAAUUUCCGUCACCCUCCCUUCAAAUCCACUUGCAAUCAAAUUAAUCUUCUCCUCUUGCUUAAUUUGUGAAUCUACAUCGUGAUUCACAUUUCUCUGCCUUAGAAAUUGUUGAAUGUGGCUUUUUUUAGAUCUCUUGAAAUGCCUCUGAAACCUUUGCUUCUUCUUUAACAUUCUCAAAAUCAAGAGAUUUAGCCACCAUUGCACCUUAAAUAUACUCAAUUCUGACGUCAGCCCUAGUCAGAGAGGAUGUGGGUGUGUCGGCGGCGGAAAUUCGACGAAGAUGAGGAACAAAUUUAAUUGAAGAAGGUGAGGUAAUUCGACGAAGAUGAGGAACAAAUUUG